rnacentral:rRNA from 1 species
UACGAAGGGGGCUAGCGUUGUUCGGAAUCACUGGGCGUAAAGCGCACGUAGGCGGAUUGUUAAGUCAGGGGUGAAAUCCCGGGGCUCAACCUCGGAACUGCCUUUGAUACUGGCAAUCUCGAGUCCGGAAGAGGUGAGUGGAACUCCUAGUGUAGAGGUGAAAUUCGUAGAUAUUAGGAAGAACACCAGUGGCGAAGGCGGCUCACUGGUCCGGAUCUGACGCUGAGGUGCGAAAGCGUGGGGAGCAAACAGG